rnacentral:misc_RNA from 1 species
GCUGAAGAACGUAGCGAAAUGCGAUACGUAAUGUGAAUUGCAGAAUUCAGUGAAUCAUCGAAUCUUUGAACGCAUAUUGCGCUCUUUGGUAUUCCGAAGAGCAUGCUUGUUUGAGUAUCAGUAAACACCUCAAAGCUUUUGGAUUUUUUAAUCGAAAAGCUUUGGACUUGAGCAAUCCCAACACCAAUCUUUUUGAGAUCGGUGGCGGGUUGCUUGAAAUGCAGGUGCAGCUGGACAUUCUCCUGAGCUAAAAGCAUAUUCAUUUAGUCCCGUCAAACGGAUUAUUACUUUUGCUGCAGCUAACAUAAAGGGAGUUUGACCGUAUUGGCUGACUGAUGCAGGAUUUCACAAGGGUCGGCAACGAUUCUUGUUAAACUCGAUCUCAAAUCAAGUAAGACUACCCGCUGAACUUAAGCAUAUCAAUAAGCGGAGGA